GUGACUACCUGUUCAAAAGUAAGAUGAAUCAUCCGGACGACACCUUACACCCAAAUCAAACAGAGCAAACUUGCUACCAGAAGACAUUGGGACAUCAUAGGUGAAAGACCUCAGAGGAUCCAGCUUUAGACACAAAGAGUAUUCCAGUGACAGAAUCCACUCAAGAGAGUUGGGACCGAGGUUAUCAAGGAGCUGAGUUCUGAGUUCAGGUGCCCACGUGGCAGAGGAAUGACGCCUCCUGGCCCUUCAGACCUUUGAGACGGCCGGGAGGCCCUAGAAAUCACCUCAAGUCUCCAGUCCAGGACACAGCUGCCUAGGGGAGUCCCAGGGAAAGGCGGCAGGUAGUGUAUCCUCUCUGCGUUUUCUUCUCUUGAUCCCCCCCCCAUCCCUCCUCUGUGUGUGUGUCUGCUAUGUAUGAUCCCACACAGAACAACAUUCCAUGGGUCACUGAUGCCCGGGGACUUAUUCUAUGUUCUUAUCAACAGAGAUUGCAUGGCCCGUGGCGGACUCCAGCGCAACCUCUGCGGAAUCUACCUGAUUCCAAACCACUGGCACUUCCGGCACACAAAGCCCCUAGCGAAGAGGAGGCAAGAGAAGCCAGCUAGGAAGAGGCCCAUCACUUGGCUACAAAGCAGAUGGACCACCUCCUCAGGGCUCCUGGAAACUGCUGAAGCACAAUGAGGGAGGUGACAUCACUCACAGGAAGGAAUCAAGCAUUUACAGUGGACUUGAGACUGCAUCCUUCAGACUGAAGUCCUGAGGCCCAGUUCUGAGUCAGACUCUCUCUCUCUCUCUCUCUCUCUCUCUCUCUCUCUCUCUCUCUCUCAUUUUUCUUUUCUUGGCUCAGGAAAUUUUAACCAGGAAUUGCUUUAAUAGGUAUAAUUAGCUAUAGUUUUGUUCCCUAAUCAGCCUUGUUUCUAAACACAUUACUAGGAAUCUAGGAGGGUCCAACCAGCGCCACAGCAUAUUAGCUGAAGAAUCCAGAGUCUACUCUUGGAGUUCAUAAGUCCCACUAAUAAAAAUAAUAUAAGAGCUGACCCA
ensembl:lncRNA